rnacentral:rRNA from 1 species
AUUGAACGCUGGCGGCAGGCCUAACACAUGCAAGUCGAACGAGUGGCGGACGGGUGAGUAAUGUCUGGGAAACUGCCUGAUUGAGGGGGAUAACUACUGGAAACGGUAGCUAAUACCGCAUACCAUCGGAUGUGCCCAUAUGGGAUUAGCUAGUAGGUGGGGUAAAGGCUCACCUAGGCGACGAUCCCUAGCUGGUCUGAGAGGAUGACCAGCCACACUGGAACGGAGACACGGUCCAGACUCCUACGGGAGGCAGCAGUGGGGAAUAUGGCACAAGGGGCGCAAUCCUGAUGCAGCCAUGCCGCGGGUAGGAAGAAGGCCUUCGGGUUGUAAAGUACUUUCAGCGGGGAGGCGUUACCCGCAGAAGAAGCACCGGCUAACUCCGUGCCAGCAGCCGCGGUAAUAC